GAUGAACGCUAGCGGCAGGCCUAAUACAUGCAAGUCGAGGGGUAUAGCGGUGCUUGCACUGCUAGAGACCGGCGCACGGGUGCGUAACGCGUAUGCAACCUACCUUGAUCAGGGGGAUAGCCCGGAGAAAUCCGGAUUAACACCGCAUGAAGACACAGAACCGCAUGGUUCAAUGUCCAAACAUUUAUUGGAUCAAGAUGGGCAUGCGUGCCAUUAGUUAGUUGGCGGGGUAACGGCCCACCAAGGCGACGAAGGCUAGGGGAUCUGAGAGGAUAGCCCCCCACACUGGUACUGAGACACGGACCAGACUCCUACGGAAGGCAGCAGUAAGGAAUAUUGGUCAAUGGGCGCAAGCCCGAACCAGCCAUGCCGCGUGCAGGAAGACGGCCCUCCGGGUUGUAAACUGCUUUUAUACCGGAAUAAACCUCCCUACGUGUAGGGAGCUGAAUGUACGGUAGGAAUAAGGAUCGGCUAACUCCGUGCCAGCCGCCGCAGUAACAC
rnacentral:rRNA from 1 species